UACGUAGGGUGCAAGCGUUGUCCGGAAUUAUUGGGCGUAAAGGGCUCGUAGGUGGCUUGUCACGUCGGGUGUGAAAGCUUGGGGCUUAACUCCAGUUCUGCAUUCGAUACGGGCUGGCUAGAGGUAGGUAGGGGAGAACGGAAUUCCUGGUGUAGCGGUGAAAUGCGCAGAUAUCAGGAGGAACACCGGUGGCGAAGGCGGUUCUCUGGGCCUUACCUGACGCUGAGGAGCGAAAGCGUGGGGAGCGAACAGG
rnacentral:rRNA from 1 species